UACGGAGGGUGCAAGCGUUAAUCGGAAUUACUGGGCGUAAAGCGCACGUAGGUGGUUUUCUAAGUCAGCUGUGAAAUCCCCGGGCUCAACCUGGGACUUGCAGUUGAAACUGGAAAGCUAGAGUAGGGUAGAGGGGUGUGGAAUUCCAGGUGUAGCGGUGAAAUGCGUAGAUAUCGGGAAGAACACCCGUGGCGAAGGCGGCUGCUCUGGGACGGUACUGACGCUGAGACGCGAAAGCGUGGGGAGCGAACAGGA
rnacentral:rRNA from 1 species